CCGCCUUGCAGGUGGACAGAGGGGAGCCAAGAAGAGGCCAGUGCACCAAGGAGUGCAGCUGCAGGCAUGGGGGUGGGCAGGAGGCACAGAGCCGGUGCUGAGGGGCUGCAGUCAGAGCAGGAGGUUGAGAAAAAGGCUUAUGGAGAGAGAAAGAAGAAAGCAAUAUCCCGUCUACCUACAGUCCCUUGAGUGUUCUUUCAACUACCUGCCACCUAUCCACCAGCUCCCCUUGGACCCCAGCUUGGGUGGGAACCUGACACUUGGCAUACUAAGCAGCAUUCUGAGGAGAGGAUCUGAGAUGGUAUAGAAGUGUUUGUAUCCCAGCAGCAGGUGGAAGCCAGGGGAUGUCUACCAAAGUUGUAAAUGCAUGUAUUCUGUGGUGUAGCUGAGAGAUAGCUGCCUCACAGAGUAUGCCAUGGAAAAUUCUAAGGAUGAUGAGGCCAGACCACUCUGCAUGGAUCCACAGCAGUAAAUCCACUUCUGAGGAGAAGAAUGAAAGCCAAGGCAGAUAUGAAAGAGCCAUGGACUGCUGACCUUUGAACCCUGAGAGGAGUGCAGAGCUCACUCAUAUUCUAAUGAAGUAUUUUUCUACCCUUAUUAUGAUUCUGACUCACUAUACUUCUUAUCAAAAUUACAUGAUGAGGAAUUGUAUGUUUGAAUAGCAGUCAAAUGAGAAGAGACUUUAUCAUUUAGCAAAUCUAUCUGCCCAAUUUCGUAGCUUGAGACAAUGCAAAAAUGUCAACCCAUGAUCUCUAUCCCAUUUUCUUUUGAUUAUCUCUACAGCUUGUAAAAAUCUCUGUACUUUUUU
rnacentral:lncRNA from 10 species